UGUGUAUGUAUGUCAAGGUGUGUGCUUGUGUCCCCUGUUGCGCCUUGUAAUUUUUCCCCAGUAAUUUUUUGUGGAUUUUGCUUCUUAUUUAGUUUUUUUGCCUUUGGGAAUUUUUCAGUUGGACAUUCAAAGUAAGUUUUUGUUGCCUUUCAUUUAGUUCAUUUUAAAUGAAUCCUUUUUGUUGUGCAUUUUGGGUCCUUUCCCUUUUUGUUCAACUCCAGUCUGUGACAACCUGUCUUGAAUUGUGUUUUUUUUAACAAACCAGCACUCUCAAGUAGCAACCUCUAGUCUAGAGACACAAAGCCAAUGUGGAAGUGCUAAAAAUGUCAGACUCUCCAGUGUAUUCAUUGCUGGCUGUAAAAAAAAAAUAACAACCCAGGAGCCACUUUUAUGGCAAAAAUAAACAUGUACAAUAUACAGUCUGGUUCAAAAAACAGUUUUGGUCUGAAUUGAGUCAUAUAGCUGUUUGCAAGGAGGCUAAGUGUCUGCUUCAACUCAGCUUCCUGUUGGGUAGACCAAAAGUUAGGAUGAGUCUGCAUUUCUAUAUGGCAACCAGAAUUAAUGAGCUUUAAAACCCAAUGAGUGAAAUCAUUGAGACUUUAUCAAUAUUAAACAAAAUCUAUGGGCAUUAAAUCUAUUUUUUUUUUUUUUUUUUUUUUUUACCAAGUACUUUCCCACUUAUUUCUUUGAAUGCAUGUUUUUGACCUUUUAAAGGAGCUAAAGUAUUAAAAAGUGGUGCUACUGGAGUGGUUUGCCUCACUAUCAAGUAUUCUCUGCACAUUGCAGGAGCCUCUUGCAUUAAUGAGCAGCAUGCUCUGGAUAAAAUACUGCGACACAGUAAAAUGCCUCGAUCUGCGGGUUACACAGGUAUAUUGGUUGCAUCAGUGUGUAAGACACUGUAAGAUGUCUUAAUUUUGUUCAUUCUGCUUUCUCAUGCAGGGCAACCUGUAAAUUAGCAGCUCUGUAUCUGCUGAAUGAGGAAAGAAGCAACUUUUUGUGAAAAUGAACAUCAUGCUCAUAAAGUAAGUUUUAAGGUUGCUUGCAGCCAACACAAGCUUAAAUACAAAUACACAAUUGUGACAACAUUUCAUCCUCACAUAGAUUGCUCAGAAAUGGAGCUGUGAAGGGUGCUUAUCUUGGAGAAAUAGCAGCUCUGAAACAGUUCAGACGUAAGCACCAGAAAGCCCCCUGACAUUACUUUGUUUUUCAUCAGAAUUUGAUCAAUGAAACGUCAGUUCACAAAAGUACAUUCACAGUUAUAACCCAACUGAGAUUUCGCCUUCACACCUUCAAAUAAAUAGAAAGACAACAGUAGAAGUCUUGUACCCUAGUCUCUGUCCUGACAGCCAAAGAACACUGAAAAACAUCUCUUGGUGAAAGUGCAGCUAUUCACAUGAGACCACAUACAAUUCACACAUGUUCAAGGGUUCAAAAAACCGGUAACACUCUUCUGAAGCACUGAAAACACAACAUACACAGACAUGAAAAAUAUGCUUUUCCUCAGGGUGAAAACACAUUCAGCUGUAGACGUAUGACCUGAGACACGUGCUGUGUUCAGUUGUGUUAGGCACUCCUUUUCAUUGAUGACCUUUUCCACAUAAACAAAACAUCAUCACUUCCAGGUGGGCCUAUUUUGUGCACCCACAGUGUGAAUAUUUACAAGUCAUUUCAGGAUUCUGAUGGAGUGAUUAUCUCCCAGUGUCCCUUUUCCAAUUACCAGGUCUGCUUUUAGAUGACAAAGGUCUUUGUAUGUGUUUUUCAUCCUGGAAAUAUCAACCUCUUCUCUGACACCUAAUAAAAACACAGCACAACUCUUUUAUUAUAAAUUAUGCUAUUAGAAACCAGUUGAAGACAGCACUUUUCCCUUUAACUGAGUGCACUUAAAAGAAGAGGACUGAACCAACACGUGGACUAUUACUCACUUAGUUGAGGCUUCGUGUAAUUAAGCAUCGGGCUCUAGGGGUGCGACUUGUAAAUGUUGCAAAGAAACUACCUCACAAGGAAGUUCUGUUUUGUAUGCAGUUUGCGCCUAUUGAGGAUCUCGUCUAUAUGGAGGUGCCUAAGUAGUUAACGCUCGGUGAUAACUGCUCUCUCAUAUAGACCCACUCGGAGCUUUCAGCAGAUUAGCCAUUGAUUCCCUGGUGGCUCAAUGCACAAGUGCACAGCCACAAUACAGCAGGAGAGUCACACAGUAAAGAUAAUCCCCUUUCAUGAGCCAUAGAAAAUAUUUGGAACACAACAUACAAUUCAGGGUAGAAAAAGACGGUUGUUCGUGCUUAAAGCAGGGUUACACUGUGCAUUUAUUAAUACAGGUACAUGGGCAAAAAAGCCAAAUAAAAAGACUUUUCCCCUGACUCUAUAGGCAUUGCUUCCUCCCUCUCUCUCUCUCUCUCUCUCUCCCUGCACAUGUCCAACCAUAUUCAACCCAUUCACACCAUCUCCUCCAUACACCUGUUCUUUCAGAAGCCCCCGACUGAUAAACAGCCAUCCUCCAGAGGGACUCAGUGUUAUAAUGUUGCAGGGAAGAUGUCAACCAGCAGACAUCUUUAUAUGUUAUCUUUCUCUAUCACAACUCCCCGGGUACUGAGCUGUCAUUUUUUCCACUGUGAAAGAAGACGACUCAACUGAAGGAUAGUCACACAACACAGACACAGGGAUGCGCAUCCACACAGGAAUGCACACACUACUCUGCAAGGGCGCACCUUGAGGGUGAAAAUACGGUUUCACAUCAGGAUGGGAUAGAGCCUGCAGAUGCAGAGCGUGCGGUUUACACUACCUGUGAUGUCUUCAUUAUGCCAAGUUUUAAAAUGGAGACACUCUGGCUUUUUCUUCAAAGAAAAUAUGAAUAUCUCACAUUCAAGGGAGAUACAAUUAAAAUAAAUAGUGCAGGAAUGAUAGGCAAGGUCCCUGAAUGCUUUCUCUAAGGAGACAAAGCUGUUUCAUCCUUUACCCUCCUUCUUUAAAAAAAUCUGCCAAAAGAAAUGAUCAAGUGGGAAUAAGAAUUUACAUACUUUUUGACACCAGACUUCAUAUUGUCAACUUAAAGAUUAUUAUUAGGUACCUCCUAAUAGAAAACAUGGCUAUCAUACACGCGCCCUUUUGCAUUUUGCACCGAUAGACGAUGAAGAAUGAGGUUUUUAAAUCUGUCUCAUCCAAUUUUAAUGAAAGCAAUUAGAUAAAACACAUCAUGACAACAUAUCUGAUAGAUGAGAUAGCAACCACAUGGAAGCUCUGAGCAUUGCACCUCUUAAUUCAGCCAAUAAAUGACUGUUUUCUUAAUAUGCCACUGUCACCAAAAAACACAUGAGGGACCUUAAAAUGUUCUCAUCUCUAACCACAACUGCAGAGGCAAAUAAAAGCUUGAAAGGCUCAGAAUUUAUCUACAAGUUAGCUCAACAAACUACAAACAUACUGUUUUCAAUCUCUGGCUAAUGCUGAGUAAAUCUAUUGUGCUGCAAAGCACAGAAGAAGAGAGGAAGUCACAUCUGGGGAUCAGAUUUCUUGUUUUAUAACAUAGCAAUUUGCCUGCUCUGAGAGGGCAGUAAAUCACCUCUAAUUGGGUCUCAUAUGCAGCAUGUAUUUAGACACUGCAACACCAACCCCUCCAAACCUCUUGCUGCGGCAUAAUAUUAAGUAAAAAGAGGAGCACAAAACCUCCAUACAUCAGAGAGCUUAAUGACUAAAAAGGGUUUUUUUUAUACAAAAGAAGCUGACUGUAUAUGUUCUGCAAAUCAAUUUUCAGCUGUUUAAUACAAGACUAAUUAGGCCUGUUACACUGAUGAAACCCACCAAGAACCUAUUUGGAUGUUUUUACACAGCUCCGCAUGAAAGGAUGUGACACAUAAAGAGAACCAAGAGAUCAAGAGAAUGAUUUCUAUACGAGGAGUUAUGAAACUGUCACUGUUUCCAUUUCUAUUUUAGGACGUACUUAGGCUUGUCUUCAUCACUGUGGAUUAACAGCCUCAGUGGGAUGCUAUUCCUCAUCACACAGGAGGGGGGCAGGUCACCCAAACAUUGCUAGAUCCAGAGAGGAGGGGGACAUAUGUUAUGUAUCAACAUAUUCUUCCCAUAAUUUGAAACCAUUACAAUGAUCAGAGGAUAGAGGGUUACAGUCAGUCUGCAAGGAGAUUUAAAUACAUACAAUUUGCAAUUUCUUAUCUAUAGAUAUCCACUGUAGAUAAACGUAAGGGGAAUUUUCCCAUCAGCUUAUUGAUGCAAAGCCUUUAAAUGAUCCUUGGUUAGGGUGGCAAAUGAGGGCACUGAUGUGCUGUCAUUACUGGACUAGGAUCUGUGGACAUGAUAGUCAGCUUAUUUGUCGUUAGAUCUAUUUUGGCUCUAAGAUGCCUAUUCAACAUUUUGAUAGACACAAACUCAGGUUGUUGUCAGACUUCUCGGUGAACUCCUGGAAAUUAUGUCUUCUCUGUUUUGAACCAGGCUCUUGCAAAAACAGUUUGUUUGAUUUUUAUGUAGCUAGAGGGCAUUAUUUGAUAUUUCGCUUUCUUAAGACAUUGACUUUUUAAGAGACAACAAAAUUAAAGAAUUCAAACUAGAAAUUAUUGAAAAGCACCACAACUUCUUAGAUAUUUAAUUUUCUGGGUGAACUGUUAAUUAUAAACAGUCUCUCAAUUGAUGUAACAUUCAAGCCAACAUACUGGGGAGCUUGAAGCGAAUGAUCCAGUCCAAAUGACCCAACAUCCAGUGACAGAUAGUCCAUCACAUACUGACACAUAACCAAAAAUGUAAAAUCUGGACUGCUUGGAUGAAGCAGUCACAUGGUCUGAAAGCAGAAUUUAGCUAAAGUCUGUUUUUAUUCUGUAAAAUAUUCCUAUAGUUGAGGUAAACAACAAUAUUUAUGGCAGUUGCAGCAACAAACAGGAUUUCUGUCCAACUUGGAAAACCUGAAAAACCACUGACUGAUUUUCUAGUCAAGAACAACACAUGGAAAAAAGCAAAAUAUCCUGAAAAAUCCUGUGCAGUCCUUAAAGAUAAUUCAAACAUUGUCCUAAACAUCUAUCUAAUCUUUGACAAUAAUUCAGUAUAAACAUCUGCAGGUGUAUUUGCAUUAUUCUAUGACUUCCACAACAUAAUCGUAAACAAGCAUUGUGUCCUGGAAAAGAUUUUGCUUUCUUCCGACUUGGUAACUGAAACGCUGGUAACUCAGGUGUGACGUCAUUCCCAGCUCGGGUUUCUGACUUCCGAGGUAGCUCGAACACAGCAUAAAUUGCACUGAGGUAAUUUCAACUAGUGAGAUCUCUGCAUCAAUCAAAACCACUUGUUAUAGCUGUGUGUGAGUUUUCCCCCCUUUUGUCUCCCCUAGAUGCCCAGGUGAAAUCACUGAUUGACAAUCAGACUCACCUGGUGCAGAGAAUUUAAAGGCCCAGAGCUGCCUGCUGUCUGCUGCAUCUCAUUUGUGUUGUGGGUUCUUUGCGUUUAGUUAAUUUGUUCUUUUGUUACAAUAAAUCACUUGUGAAACUUUUAAUGGUAUUUUGUUACUUUAAUGGGUCAAAAAAUGUGGAUAGUUGUUAGCCCCACAGGGCCGCCUCCAAGUGGGGUGUAACACACUUUUAUCUGACUCCUACUGCAGCUGUUUUUCUUGGCGGAAUACUUGCUAAUGGAAGCACUAAACAUCAGCUGGCAUCAACUAAAAGACAAAAAAAUGCAUAGAGGACAGUAGCAUAAAAGAAAAAUAUAAUGCUGAUCUAAGUUUAAGUUAUGACCAAACAAAUGAAGAGUUGUCUGAAAUGUUCUGUAUACAGGCCUAGAUUUUAGUUUAUGGUCAGCUGCAGCUCUAUGCAGAUGCCAUCCCUCAGAAACACUUACUACAGGGCUUGUUUUUCUUGGUGCAUGACAACAGUCAGCAUAUUUUGCAGUUAAUACUGCACACUGAGAAUUUUCUCCACCCACACAGACAGGGCAGUUUCUGAGGAUCAGGGAGAUGGAUAAACCAAGGAUGCAUUUAUUAAUGUUAUUUGUCAAAGAAAACCUCCAAGAACCUCAUAUUUCUUACAGUGUAGUAGGAUUGAGAAAUUGUCCCUUUUUUCUCACAAAAUACUCUCCUUUUCUCUCUCUAAUGCUUUUGAGUAUCUGUAAGCAUUAACACAGAGAACAGAAAAACAAAUUUUAAUGCUGCUGAGUAAAUGUUUCAUUCCUCGGAAGUAACAUCAAAGCGGUGUACUACCAUUGAUGCCCAAGCUGCUGCUGCUGCUGCUGCUGCUGCUGGUGCCACAGGGAAAGACUUAAGUGGAGAUGAAUUCUUUCAGAUACAUUUCUCAAACAUGCCCGCACCAGAAACUCCCCAAACUGUACAGCAAGAAGACACAUAAACAUUAGUCACAGGAGAAUUUGUUAUUUGAGGUUACGUUGCUCAUAUAUUUGCCUCUUUUGUUGUUGAACAGGUUUUAACAUCCCAGCUAAAUUAACAUUGGCAGGUGCUUUCAAAAACAACAUGUCUUGCAGCUCUUAGCCCUUUUUUGUCUACAAGCUAUGAAGAGCUGCUGUGGCUCAGGGGUAAAGUUGGUUCUCUCUCAGUUAGAAAAUUGGGGGGUUGAUCUGAGGUCCUUCUGUCCAUAUGCCAAAGUGCUUUUGGGCAAGACACUCAACUCUAAUCUGUUCCUGGUGGCUGAGCCAUCAAGUAUCAGUAUAGGAUAGGUUAACAUUUGGGAUGCCACAAUUACUGACUGAAUUCUGGACCAUUUAUUCCGUAUGUCAUGCUAUAUAUAUUCUUUUUUUUAUCAUAACUUUUUAUGUCAUCAUUUAUUCCAUGCAUUGUAUUUCUCUCUGAAGUGGCUGUUUUUGCAUGUACCUGCAAGACCAUGCCCUGAGAUGAGGAAACUUCUCCCUCGAGUAAAUAUCCAAUCACUAUGCACCAAAUAUCUGUGCCAUCAGUGUGGGCAGAGUCACUGUGGUCACAUCCAACGAAUGGCUGACCAAAUCCCAGGGCACUGAGUGUCAAAAAAAAAGAAAGUCUCUAAUGCCAGAUUUUAAAGGAAAAGUGCAUGUUUUGGGUUUUUAAAGUCUGAGUUGUCAGUGGUCACUUUUCUUUAUGCUCCAGAGACAAAAACAUCAUAUUUUUUUUCCCACCUAAGAUGGAUGUGACGAGCAUGUGUUAAUUAGUACAGAAGAAAAGUGAUUGUAGGAAUGGAUCUGCUGUGUUCAUACAUUUCCUGAUUUAUCACAGCCUUCCCUGUGUUUGUCUGCCAGACAGCUUUGAGCCUUAUGAUCCUGUCAGCAUCUCCUGUUGUGUGAUAUUCUUUGGGACAAAACAAAUGAGACGACUUGUAUUCAUUGAACAUGGAGCAUAAACCUGCUGUUGGCUUGUUGAAAAGCCAGGAUAAGGCCAGUGCAAAGGCAUGAAUCAAGGCUGCCUUACUGGCAGGGGCUCAUCCGUUGGGUGUCUGGAAUACUAAACUGGGCAGACUGGUGCUACAGAAAGACCCCUAAGCUCAGCAGACAUGAGCAUAAUGUUUGGCCAUGAACUGUGUGAGACACUGUCAUUUCAGCAGACAGUGAGGAACUGUGUCUUCUGGAUGAACACAAGGCUUUGAGAACAAAUCUGAAAAUAAAAAACAUUAAAGUGAACAGAUGCAGAAUCGAGAGAGGCAGAGGUGAAGGACAGCGGCACCAACCACUCAGGGCGCCAACAGUUACAUAACUAAGUGCUGAAUGAUUAUGUUAGCGUUCGGGCGAUGCGGUUCGAUUUCCAAGCCUUGCAGGGAUUACUGAUGGGUCUGUCAUAUUUUUGGCAACAUCAUUUAAUCUAAUAAAGGCUGUUUCAUUAAAUGAGCAGGAUGAGACAAGAGGGGCACUGUUGUGUAUUUCAUGUGCAUGUGUACAUGAACAUUUUCAUGUGUUUUGUCUAAAAUAGCAGCCUAAUAGCACUGAAUCAGUGUCGUACAGGAUCAUGACACUCAUCACAUUACAAUGUGCAGCUCUUAUUUAUGACAGGAUGAGAAUUAGUUCACAUGUAUUCACAAAGGCACAGACAGAUGCAGGCGUACAAAACAACUAAACUCAUCUGAAGCGGCUUUCAUCAACCAUCAGACAGACACAAGUAAAUACAUCAGACUUUUCAUUAAGCUGAAAAGUUAGAAAUGAAAACUACAUCAUGUUCCGUUGAUGAAAAAUGGUUAGAAAGUUAAUCUGUUUUGAUGGCGAUUGCACAUUUACCUUUUUUUUCUUUCUUAACACAAAUUGUGUAUUUCAUUUUUCUUCAACACUGUCAUCAUGCGGCAGGAAUUAAUCAUUUAGCAGCACUUGUGUUAGAAGGAGACCUAGCCAUUUAUAGCUACAAAUGGCUUUAUUUUUGUAUCUGAGUGGGGUGUGGGAUGCCUUACCCAGCAUUUAAGGUGCAGAGAAUGCACAGAGUACAAGAAGAGAGAAGUCAGCAGAUAUGUAACACAGAGAGAUUGCAUAUACAUAAUGCACAAGGCAAGAAAUACCCAGAAAUGUAUGAUUUAUAAGUGGGGAUGUAAAGGUACAUGUAUUCAUACUGAACAAUUGUGUACAGCCCGUUCAGUUCGGUGCAGCUAUGUGCUGGUUCAAAAGUGCAAAGGUAAAGGUAUUUCAAAUCCAAGGAUCACACAUGGACAAAAACUGGAGCUCAACACACACAGAACCAGCCAUGCAGGGAAUUAGAAGAUUUAGUCAACAUAUCAUCUCGAAAUAUGUUGACUUUGAUUUUGAUUUAAGCUGUGACUGAUGCCUAUAGUGUAGUAAACUGCAGCAUGUAGUGCUCCUAUGUCUGCAAAAGUUUGUGUGUGUUAUCCUGUCCCUGCAGAGCACCAACAAGCAGCCAGCAGAGGAGCUGGUGAGAGAGAAGCUGCAGCACCAAAACAGGGUAAAAUAAGAGUAGUUACUUCUAGUUGUGUUAUGUUUGAUGUUAUAAGAAAUGAGUCUAAGGCUGAACAGUCAAUGCUGCACUUAAAGUAUAAAAGUUCUUUGUGGUUCUAAUAAAGGAAAAUAAAAGUAUUUGUUGCAAUACCGAUAAUGCACCAAACUGAAACUUCAACACUGAGAACUGCAACAAACCAAAGUCUUGUUCAUCAUAGCAGGGCAGGUGGUAGCAGAAGCAGCUGUCUGAAUCAGUAACUGUACGAACAGCUGCAUGCGGACCAGAGAGAGCCCAUCCUGGACUGACCUGAAAUUGAUAUCAAAAAAGUAUGCAAAGGUAACAGGUGUCAUACCCGAAUUAGAGCUCAGUAUGCACAGAGUGUCACAGCUGAUGUUAAUUUGUAAUUUACAGAACCAAUAGGAUCUGCUGCAAACACAUUGGUGCCAGAUAUUGUAACGCACUAUGGUCAACAUUAGGGUAGGGAGAAAAAAAUCGAUUCACAUAAGUAUCGCAAUUUUUUAUUUUACAUUUUUUUAAAUCAAUUCUUUUUUAAAUCAAAUUUAAGAAUAAAUUUGAAAAACUGACUUACAAGUGAUGUGUAUUUUUGGGGAAAUAUGGUUCCUGGAAUAGUCAGUAGACAAUCAUAAUCAUUUAACUGUUUCACUGGUGUUAAAAAUGCAGACUAAAAAUUGAGAAAAUCGACAAUUUCGUAGAAUCGCGAUUUAAAUCGAAUCGGCAACCAAAAAUUCAUAGAAGAAUCAAAUUGUGGGAAAAGCAUAUCGUCCCAGCCCAAGUAAACAUGGUAUCAUUGAGUCUGUGGAAAACAAUAUCAAAUUUGUUCACUGAGUGUGGCUAACACAGCUCUAGUGGGGAUGAAACACUAGAAUUUUUAGUGCAAAUUCAAGCUCAGUCAGUUAAAUCUGUUGAUAAAACGGUUGAUAUUAAAACUAAUGUUGAAUAGUGUUUAAAACAUACAGCAUUGGGAAAAGUUAGGAGACCACUCUAAAUUUUCCUCUAAUCAGUGUGUCUAAGAGCAGGGAGCAAUUCUGUUCCAGUUAUUCAACCUAAUGAGGUAUUGAUUUGGUGAUCACCUAUCAAGCCAUUGAACAAAACAGAGCUGCUUGAAUUUUGGCCCAAAAGGGACAAAACUUCAUGUGCCAAAGGCAUGAAAGCUGUAAUUAAAACCAGGAUUAUUUCAGCACUUAUUGGCUUCUGAGCUUGCCUUGAGUUAAAACAUUAUUAUUCAGUUGGUAAAAAAUUAAUAUAAAAUCAUUUUUCUUCGUUUUACUUCGCCUGAAACUACAAAGGGCUAUCUUAAUCAGGUGCCAUUUUCUCCAGAAGUUGAUACUGAUAUUGAUCAGCUAUAGGCCUAUAAGCUCAAAACCUAACACAGCCAUCAUUCACUUGAACCCACAUUGCAGUAAAACUCCUGAAGUAGCUGCUCGCUCCAACAGAGUGCGAUAAUAGCUGCCAUAUGGCUAAAUCUGCUCAGUGCAAGUUUUUUUUUGUUUUUACAGAAAAGAAAAAUCAUAUAAACUAAAGAGGUAUAUUUAGGACUUUCAUCUUUUUGGGUUUCUUCGCACCUUCAUUUGUUGAGAAGGAAAAUCAUCUGAAGAUCACUUCCACAUGGUCAAACUUUCAGCUGCCAGGUUUCUAUGCCAAUGAUAAUACCCCCAAUGUAAUUCAACAGACAAACCCGAGGCCUUCUCCUCCUGCUGCUUCUGCAGGAAAAACUCCAGCUAACUAGCAGACUUCAAUCAACUCUCGGGCUGCCGCUGACUCCUUAAAUGCUGCUGUCAGACUUUCUAGCCUUGAGAGGUAUGCUGAAGUAUUUUAUAACAGCCAGUAAGCAAAACACAAAAUCCUCUUGAAAAAGAGGAAGGUGGCAGUCGCUUAUAGAGAUGUGGCUGGUAUUGAGGAAAAAUAAAAGACAUUUAAUUAACAACCUCCCAGACUAAAAGGAAAAUAUUUCUUCAAGACAUUUCUAUUCCCACCGGUCUAGUCAUUGUUAUGGCAUGCUAUGUCUUGAGAAGUGGAGUCAAAUCAGGUUGCUGAGCAGAUGGGCGGUAAAGCCUUUGUAUACUAUUCUCAGACACACCCCUGAGGAGCCCAGUCCAUCAUCUACUGAUCUAUCUCUGCUUGGCCCUCCCUCUCAUCAAGAAAAUGAUACCCUUAAUUGGAAAUUGUGUUAAUUCUCCGACAUGUCUGAAAUUCUAUCUCCCCCUAACUCCCUCUAAAUUGGAGACACUCUUGACAAAUUUAGGGUGGCAGCUCCAAUGAUGCAUAUCCUGGUUAAAUACUCUUUAUCUUCACCCACUUUCUCUUGUUCAUGCCUCUUUAUCAACCGAGUGAUUAAUGUCUACAAAACUCCCGAGCAUGCUGGUCCACCCAAAAUAAUCCAUGGUGGGAAAUUAGAGUGAGCAGUGCUGAGUUAUUCAGUGUCAUGCAUGAAUGAGAGUUAUGUUUUGAACUAAAGAUAAUCUUGAGGAUGACAAGCACAGUAGCAUCAUGGACUACCUUCUGUUCAUGAAGGCCACCUCUACAAAAUUAAUAUUAAUGUAACUACACUGAUGAGCAUGGAGCAGCUUCAAACACUCCUCUGUGUCUAAAUGUUAUUCAUACCCUUCACUCGGCAAAGACUCUGUUCCUUUUGACCUGUGAUGUCUGAUUAAACACAAAAACAGCGUCAUUAAGCUUUGAGCUGGGAUUCUUUUAUCCAUGAUACAAACAGAUAAACAAUGUGAACAGACCCUCACUAAUAAGUACGAAUAAAUGAGAUCAUUGUUUCUGAUAGUUGAUGCAUUUUAAAAGUCAGAGCUGCAUGUUUGAAUAAUGUGGUCUCUGAGGAGAGCAAACACUGUGCAUGCAUAGAAAGAGUUAAAUCAUAACACAUCCAACUGUUUUUGUGCAUUUGGAAGCAGUGAGAUACCAGUAGCUGAUGGCUGUGGUAGAUGCAUCUGUUGUGAUAUUAGACUCUAAUUAUAGAAAAAAAAUAGAUUAUAUGGCGUGGAAGAUGCAGGCCUAGUUUCAGAGCUGCUGUUAGGAUUAUUGUCUCAAAUGUUACCUCUAAAAGAAACCUAAAACAGUCCUUGCCAGGUCUGUGCAGCGUUUUUAUCAGCACUGAACCAAAGAGAGAGGAGCAGCAUGAACGUGAAUAUUAUUGAUUUCUACCAAGGUUACCUGUUGAGCUAGAAAAAUACUCAAUCAAAUAAGUGCAUUGCAGAAAAGCUGUUAUCCGAAUAUGUACUGAAAAUCUUGCUGUGUUGAAAUGCAAGAGAUUUGGCUGCAUGAUGUCGAAAAACAACUCAAGUUUAAUUUUUUUUUGCAGGCUAAAAAUAAUAAAGGAUAUUUCCCCAGGUACAUGCAGUGAGUUACUCACAUUGAAAAACAAUAAACAGUAAUUGUAUUCAUUGUUUGAGUAACCACCAUAACCUACUUACACCACAGCCUCUAAUACUAGCAUAAACAAACAAAGGGGGCACCUUAUCUGGGAAAAACAACACGGUUGUCCCUCUCUCAUUGAGGCAACAUUAUUUCUGAGAGGUAGAGUUGAUUCUCAAACUAAAUACACAACUGUAGAAGGGCUGCGCUCAUAACAAAGCAAAGAGCACAGACAUUUCUUCCUAAAUAUAUCCACUGAAUAGUAUCUGAGUCAUAUCUAAAAACAGACCUAAAUCUGUAUUUUACUUUAUUUACCAUUCUUGAUUUGAUUUGCCAAAUGUUUCCUAAAAUAUAAGUCUAUAAAAUGUGAGGAUAGUUGAAAUAUUAUCAUCGCAGGUACUCUUGUUUGAUGUUUUUACACCUUAAUAUGAACAAAAUAUAGGCUGACAUUCAUUGAUCAAAGCUUCAGCAGUAUUCAAAAUGCAUUUGCCUCAAAGAUUAGACAAAUUGUUGAUGCUUUUGGUCAGGCUGUCCAGACCAAAUGCAAAUUGGACUGCCCAUUUUUGGAUAUACAGCACAUUUGAACAGUCCAGUGCCAGGUUUGGCUUUGAUUUUUCCCUGGGCUGAAUCGUGUGGACAGUCAGUCCUACUUCGCAGUUUUGGACCAGAGUGAGCCCGGUUUAUAGGCCGGUUUAACACAUCAAUCAUGACAAGUCUGGCAGUCAAAAGCAUUGAUUUUAAGACAAUUUCAGCUACUUGGCAAUAUAUGUGCAUCACAUUUAAAAAGAUUCAAGUUGAAAGUAGUCAAAGUGGUCCUUAACAGUUUACUGACAGUACAACUGAAUAACAUUUGUACUUUGUGAGCCCAACGGUUCAACAAACGCUACAUGUGUUCGCCUUACUUGCUGCCAUUUUCUAGUUUAGCAGGCUAAAACCUGUGUGGCUGUUUAGCAUAUGAGUGAUGAAAUAUGAUAAAAGGAGUGUAGAGAGCGCUGAUGAAUAUGUGUGGCUUUGAAGCGAUUGUUGUGUGUGAUCGUGUGCAGAUGAGAGCGUGGGAGGUGUCGUGUAUGGAUGUGUGUCUAUGUGUGUCUGAAAGUGUUUGCUGAUAAGGGUGACAUUUGUGGCACACAGUUAAGAAUGUAACCACCUGAAUCUGGGACUUCUUUCUCUGAACCCUAAAACAUCAACCAGGAGAGGUUUAGUUCGUCCUUCUUCCACCGCAGAGCCUGUGUUCGAGUGUGUGUGCGAGCGCUGAAGUGAGGGCAUCGCUCUCCACACACUCGACAGGAUUUCAGCAUCCUGCACAUUCACCGUGGAUUCAUCACCUUAGCAACCAGUCGAUUGAAAGAUGAUGAAUCAUGCCAAAGACUGCUAAUUUCUUUGCAGUUGUCAAACAUGAACAAUAGGCGGUAAGAUGGAGUCAGAGAAACGUCACCAGAGGAUGGUGUGUGUGUGUGUGUGUGUGUGUGUGUGUGUGUGUCCGUGUGAACAUUAAACAUAACCAUAAAGAGACAGGAAGGAGGAGAGGCAAAAUCAAGGUUAAUCCGAGGAUAAUGGUGGUCAGACAGAACACAGAUGUACUACUUGCUGUUCUUACUGACCAGAACAAAUAACUCCUCAUUAGCACAGCAUGAGUAGUUUAACAGUAUACUUAUAGGUUGUUAUAUACUUGUAUUUUCUUUGAUAAGACCUGUAACAUUAACCUUUGAGUUGAACAUUUCAGGGGCUGUACCGCGUGUGGUUGCUGUCUGGUUUUGGACCUUUAAAUUAAAAAAGAAAACUUAUCAAAGACGACUGCUUUGUCCAGUGUCGUGACAGGAAACAGCCAGUUCUCUGGUUUGGAAACUUAUCAAUCCAAUCAACUCUGAAAGAAGAACCGAAUGUCAGCUAAUAAGAGUGGGCUUAGUGAUCCAGAAAAUGGAGAUGAAGUUGUAUUCGGGCUGUGUUAAUUAAACUGGUAAAUAACCUCUCAGCCUGAGCAACAUGUACCUAGCACAGAUGUGCGAGUGUUUACCUGCAGGGAGGAUUGGAGGCUGGUGGUGCUAGCUCUGCUAACAUUAGCCACAUUUGACAAAACAAACUGUCAUCCAGUAUUGAUGAAAUAACUUGGAUUUAAAUCCUCUACUAAAAGCAGAAAGGGACUAUUUAACAGUAAGGUUAUAGAUCGAACACUCACCCCUCCCAUCUUCCAUUAAGUACUUUUUCAGCAACCUCCUACUAAAUACAAAAAGGGAAAUAGUUUGUCCAUUCUGUGCUGCUGUUAAACCAGCAUUUUAAGAUGGGGGCCUGUAGAAGUGAUGCUGAUAUUCAAGUGGUUAUACAUAAAUUCAAAUAUGUGUACAAGUAGUCUUCUGUGCUAUCUAUGGGCAUAUUUUGCUCAAUGCUUCCUAUCCUCCCUGUUUUUUGGUUAAGUUUGGCACCAGAUAUUUGCUGAUACUUCAAACUCAUUUCAGACAGUACUGUUAUUGUUAUUCGACCAACUCUUCUCCCUGUCACUAUAUGAGCCAAAACUAUCAAAUCCCCAUGGCUACACAUAAGUGUCACCAAAAAAAUUACUUUAAAAUCAUGUAGAUCUGGUAAGACGGAAAAUUGAAUCCAAUUGAAUCCAAAAAUCAGCAGAGCGGAGGCAAUAUUGGACAGAAGACAAGAAAAGAGUGUAAUGACUUGAUAAUUCUUUCUGGGAUGAUUAGCUCCACACAGAUAGGUUUCAGAGGCCCAAAAAAACAGCUUGAUAAAUCCUCUAUUCCCUGAUAAUGUCUGACUGGAGACAAGAGUGGAUGGUGCCGAUGUGUUAUGAUUUGAUUUCCUGUAGAUCUCCAGUGAAUGGGACGAUGUUUCUAACCUCAUCUUCUCUGCGCUUUAGAGUGAGUGGUCUCUUAUCACCCCCUGAGUGCUAACAAACCCACCUUCACACUGUAAUAGCAGUGAUGUUGUAAAACACCAGAGAAGCGUGGAAAUGAAUCUGGAUUCAGAAGAAACGUCACUGUUACAAAUAAUGUAAAUCAUGUAUAAAGGAGGAGAGGCCUGAAAUCCAGCCAUCUUGAAACAGUGGGUCUAAUUCAGACACAAGGUGCAAAUAUUGCCUCAGUCGUUUGCUGUCGAAGCAGUAAUAAUACAAAACAUGAACAUGUCAUGACAAGCGAGUGGAGUGAAGGUUAAGAGCUCCCACUGCUGGUGAAAAUCCUGAAAGCAUGAGCAGCACCAGAGUUUAUUUUUCAGGAGGCUUUGAUUUAUUUACAGUCCUGAUGUGAACUUUAAAGUGUAUUGUUUUCGUUAUACACACAGGCCUGUUGACUUUUUGCUGUGCGAUUAUAGAUUAUAUGAUAUUAAUCAUUAACUAAAACACUAGAUAACAAAUGACAAAGUACUGCUUCAAUGAGUUCAUCAAUCUACUCAAAUAUGAAUCGUAUAAUUAUGCAGCCCUACAACAAAUCAAUCAACAACAAUCAUAAAUCAUAUGGUGUGCAGUUUGGCAAAAAGACCAAAAAGGUCAUUUUCAGGGCCGAGUUUUAUUGAUUUGAGAGUCAAACUGGGAAUGAAUCUUAACAUCCUGCACACCAGCUGAAGUUAUUUUUGCCCUUCCAGCCUGCUGAUGUAUAACCCUCGGUGUGAAAUGUAAGUGGGAGCGGGUGGUGUGUGUGUGAUGUGCCAUGUCCUGGUCACAGUGUUCCCUCCUCUCUACCGGUCACUCAGCAAGAGAGUUCCUGUGGGCAGAGUGAGAGAGCAUCACACUCAGCCCACACAUUUGUCCUCUAACUACAGUCAUCUUCAAAUGCAAAAUAAAGAUCCACUCAGGAAGUGAAGUUAUGGCUUCUUGAAGUUUAAGUCUGACAAUAACAGACCUGCACUUGAUUGAAGAAAAAUUGAAGAAUUCAAGACCACAAAAGUAAAAAAUCAAAUACUUGAGGAAGAUAAAGUUCUGUAUCCAAACAGUAACUUCUUCUGUAAUUUAAGAACUCAUGCUGGGAAUCUUUGCGGUGGGUAUGUCAGACUUUGAACAAUAUUUCCUUGAGACAAUAUCUACUGUACACAUUGGUGCACCUGCAGGCAGUACAUCUCCCGAGUUGUUCACUUUGGAGAGAAAAUCAUACACUAUUCAUAAGGAUGAGGCUGAAUUCAUGUGUAUUAUUCAUAAGAGUGGUCUUGUCUAAGGCAUGUAUAAACUACAGAUGGAGACUUUUAGAUACAUGCCGUCCUUUUUUGUCGAGAAACUCAGGAAGGAAGUUAAAAGUAGAAAUGUCUUAUUUUCCAUAGGACCAAAACUACUUUCUUAACACAGUUAGAUAACAGCAGGAGAAAGAGACUUUGUUGAUUGGGAAUAAAAAUGUAACUCCAGUCAUAGAAGAUAUUCAGAUCAUCAUUAUUAUUACAAGUCCAAAAGCUACUGGUAGUUCAAUGUGCUUUUGCCAACCUACUGGCAAGGCCCCUUCAAAGAGGCAUGAAAACAAGUCUGCAAAGUGCAAGAAAAUCAAAGAUCUUCUGUUCAAGUUUGCAAUAGUGUUUGUAUCAGACAUUUUAAUAUUUAAAUUCUGGAAAUAUAGCUGCACAGGCAAAGUCUCUAAGAAGGUACAAUAGCAAGAAAAAUGGGCUGAGGAGUUAUGCUACAAAGAGACAAAGAGCCUUCGUGCUUAUUUUUAACUCUGCUAUUUAUACUUUGUGUGAAAAUCCUGGUAAAGCAACUUAUAGCUGCAGCUAUUUUUGGGUGAUGUUGAACAUUUUGUCCCCUGAACUGUGGAGGAGUACAGUCAUGAAGUGGCAGAAAAUAAAAUAGUUAAAUGUAGCACAAGCAGGUAAAAGUAAACAUGAGAAUAACUCUCAAGUAUAUGUCUGUGUGUCUGUGUGUGUGUACUUUUGUGCUAUAAAGGAAACAAAAUAAAACAGAAUUCUGCUAAUCUGCAACCCAAAUUAUUGCAAGCAGAACCAUCUUCACAUAAACUGUUCUUCUAUUCAUAUCAGACUUUGGUUGUUUAUUUGUUCAUGAUGGGGAUUUAUUUUUACUUCCAGCAGAGGGCAGCAGAGCACCUCUGCACUGUCAACAAUGUGGCGAGAUUUAGCAGCUUAAUCACAGGUUUAUGCUGAUCUUCAGUAUGUAUGAAUCCUUCACAGCAUGUGGAUGAACAUUUGCCACACAGAUUGUAACUAACUCUCGAGUCUUUGCUAGAAAUGCUCUCCAUCUUGUCCACAACUUCUUUUUUGGCAUUUGAGACUUUGGGGUUAUCAUACAGUGACAAGUGUACUGCACAGCAAGAGGUAUUUUACAAUGGAUGGUAACAUUCAGAUAGCAUAAACUAAGUACAAGACCUGGAUUAUAUGUAUAAAAAAAUAAAUGAAAACAUGUUGCAGUUCUUAUUUAGACUUAAUCAUUGACGCUGAGGUAACCAAACUUCAGAUUUGGGGUAUUAUGUUCUGUUUCCUUUUUCAGUGUGUGACCAUAGACUGUAUGUGUAUGUAUAUGUAUGUAUAUAAAGGUAAUGGAAACUAACACAUGUCUCCUUGUCCUUAGCUAAAUAUUUGCUUCUUACAAUGCUCAUUCAUUCAUUUUGGAAGAUUAUGAAACAGUUCCUUUGAAUAAAGUGACACACAAGAUCCAUUUUCCUGUGACAAUCUGACCUGGCCUUUGUCACAGCAGUAGCCUAUGGGCUGAAAUAUGUGCCACCAGAAACUGAAUCAUUUAAAUUUGAGUUUGAAUCGCUAAACUUGAGUAAUUGAAUUGAAAAGUUGAAUUUAAAUUACAUAAUUUUAAAUUGUAUUGUUUAAUUUGAAUUUGAAUUGCUAAACUUGAAUAAUUGAAUUGACAGGUGUGGCUACCCGAGCCGGAAACCCGAUUUGUACUGCGCAUGUGCGAAACGUACGUCACUACCUCUACUCGCCUUUACUGCACCUGUCCACAUAUUAACAGGAGUAAACAAACAAUCGCUCUCAUCUUGUCCUAAUCGCUUUUAAUAUUUUAUUGUGGCUGAAGUUGCCUUUUUAGUCGCUGGAAGAAGAGGGACAGAACGGUCAUCUUCCCUGAGCUGAAGCUCUAAGGUAAGAGGACUUUCUUUGUAUCACAGCUGUAGUUUCAUGUGUCAGUGCUGAGAUUUAACAGCUGAGAGUUUAGAGAAAAUUAAUAGUAGAGAAAAUUAGCUGACACUGUUACUCACAGAAACCUCUCUGCAGCCUCAGUAGUAUCACAAUGAAGGUUGCAACAUGAUCUAAAGGAGCCAAGACUCUGUGCUUAUGUUUAUAAUGUUAAAUAAAUUCUCUUUAGCUACACCAGGCUCAAAAAAGGCUUAAUGAUAUUGUUUUGCAUUUAAUGAAGUAAUGCAAACAAAAUACCAGAAACAAAAUUGCUAAACUUGAAUUAACUUUAUUUACAUAAUUCAGACCAGACUAACUUUGGUGCAGUAAAAUAUUAUUACAAGAAACUUUUGGUUUUUUUUCUAAUCGAUUAAAAAAUAAUAAUAAAAAUAAACAAUAAUAAAAAAAUUCAAAAAACACAGCAAUUACCUGAAAAUACCACCAUUUAGCCUGAUUAUUCAGCUGACCGAUUAACAAAAGUCUGGAACAGAAACUUUUUUCAAGAAUAUGUUUCAAAAGCAGCAUUUACAGGAAUAUCAACAUCCAACAGAACUGAAACAAGACUGCACAUGAUAGGAGACUAAAACAUAUCUGUAGUGAUGAGUAUAAAUAGAUGUCGGGUAUGCUUCACCUUAAAAACUACAAAUUUCUCUUGUGCUUUUAGGACUCUACACCAGACCAUCCCUGGAGUCAGGUGGACCACCAUCUUCAUGUGGCGGUGUUCCUACCUCA
rnacentral:lncRNA from 1 species